UACGGAGGGUGCGAGCGUUGUCCGGAAUCAUUGGGCGUAAAGGGCGCGUAGGUGGCCACUUCAAGCGUGCGGUGAAAGUCGGGGGCUCAACCCCUGAACAGGCAGUGGAAACUAGCAAGCUGGAGUACGGUAGGGGCAGAGGGAAUUCCCGGUGUAGCGGUGAAAUGCGUAGAUAUCGGGAAGAACACCGAAGGCGAAAGCACUCUGCUGGGCCGAAACUGACACUGAUAGACGAAAGCUAGGGGAGCAAAUGGG
rnacentral:rRNA from 1 species